rnacentral:rRNA from 1 species
GAUGAACGCUGGCGGCGUGCCUAAUACAUGCAAGUCGAGCGAACGGACGAGAAGCUUGCUUUUCUGAUGUUAGCGGCGGACGGGUGAGUAACACGUGGAUAACCUCCCUAUAAGACUGGGAUAACUUCGGGAAACCGGAGCUAAUACCGGAUAAUAUUUUGAACCGCAUGGUUCAAAAGUGAAAGACGGUCUUGCUGUCACUUAUAGAUUGAUACGCGCUGCAUUAGCUAGUUGGUAAGGUAACGGCUUACCAAGGCAACGAUGCAUAGCCGACCUGAGAGGGUGAUCGGCCACACUGGAACUGAGACACGGUCCAGACUCCUACGGGAGGCAGCAGUCGGGAAUCUUCCGCCAUGGGCGAAAGCCUGACAAAGCAACGCCGCGUGAGUGAUGAAGGUCUUCGGAUCGUAAAACACUGUUAUUAGGGAAGAACUUAUGUGUAAGUAAAUGUGCACAUCUUGACGGUACCUAAACAGGAAGCCACGGCUAACUACGUG